rnacentral:lncRNA from 1 species
GUGGCAGCCAUGGGAGUGGAUAAAGGCGAAAAAGAACCUGCAGGAGGCAUGCAAGUGGCUGAGAGGCACACUUACUGCCCCUUCAUGAUUCACCUCUGCACUCAUGUCAUGGGCACGCUCUUAAGAGCUGCUGGCGCCCCACAACUGACCAGGGUGGUGUACUGGAGCCAGGCCCUUUCUGCCUAAGCAGGACACUCAAAGAGGCAGUCUUUGCCCUGCAGCCCUCCACUGGCCCAGCCAACACUCUCUCAGAGCUUAGACAUCUGCUUCUCAGAGCACCCAAACUGACAGGGUGUAUCCAGUAUAUUUGAUUCUGAAGCUAGAGAGACCCAGCUGGCCAUACACAUUGGGGAAUCAUUGACAGAUGGCAGCUGAGAUCUGAGAGCGGUUGACCUCACUUCACAAGGUUGAGUGGAAUUAGGAGGGACAAACUUCUGUGACAGGAGCCUGAGGAGCACCAAACAGGAGAACCCAGCCCAUUUCACAGGAUGUUUAAUGUGUGCUCACAAAUAGAUUCCAUCAGCUCUCCUACGGCACCCAGGAGGUCAGCUGCCCCAUGGAGGAAGCAAGAUUUGUGUGCAUUAGAAAUAAAUGAACUGUUGGAGAUAGGAUCUUCUUUGUUGACAAAACAAGUCUUGAAGAUAAGAGAUCAAGGCUUCUAGUUAAAUGGAGCAGUGACCUUAUCAGAAAUCUCAAAGCAGAAAAGUCUGUCAGAAAAACAGCAUCAGAUCAAGGAAACCAAGUACAUGGAGCUAAUUUUUGACUCUAAAGAAAGGCAAGAUUAUUUAAUAAUAAUGAUAAUGGCACAGUUUGUUAACUAUGUGAAGAAAAUCAAAUAUAGCUUUAUCUCCAUUAUACAACCAAAUAUAUUCUACAUGGAUUAAAAUAUUAAAUGUAAAAGUUAAUCAAACCAAUAAGUCAAAAAAGAAAAAAAUAGAAAAAAUAUCCAUAAAAAUUUAUUGAAUUACAAAAUGGUCAUAAAAUAUAUUAGUUCAAAACAAUGGAAUAAUUCAUAAAGGAUGACUAUUAUAGAGAUUUUCCCGUAGAGAGUUCUAAAAUUUAUGUGACUCAAAAAAUGCCUUAUAUAAAACUAAUAUCAAAUAAAAAUUUUCAGAAAAUAUUUGCUUGCAUAAGGCAAAAGAGCUAAUAACCUUAAUGUAUAAAAGUUCCUUCAAACUAAGUACCAUCUCAGAAGAAAAAAAAUCUCAAAGUGGUAAUCAAAUAAUAAAAAUUGUAAUACCAGGUCUCGAUGACUUAGCUAGGUGUGGUGGUGCACACGCCUGUCGUCCCAGCUACUCGGGAGACUGAGGCAGAAGAAUCACUUGAACCCAGGAGGUGGAGUUUGCAGUGAGCCAAGAUCACGCCACUGCACUCCAGCCUGGGGACAGAGCGAGACUCUGUCAAAAAACAAAACAAAACAAAAUAAAACUUCCCUUAAUUCUGCAACAUUUCUGAUUAGACCAAGUAGCAUCAGGAAAGAUACAGAAGAACUUUCCCUCCUCCAACAGCUAAGUUCAACUAAAUUUCUGGACACUGUAUAUAUUUUAACCUCCCCCACCUAAAAUAAAAGAAAAAAAAGAGAAGACUUUGCAGUAUGGAGAAAAGGUAGACAAGCCAGGGACCUUGGUCUCAAAGAACAACAUGGUGGUGGGUUUCCUGGGUUUUCUUUUCCAUCAUAUAUCUCAGACUUGGAGAUGAAAAAUCAGCAAUCCAGAAACAACAUUGGAUGGAGAAAAAGCUGCAAUGAAAGAUUGCCAUCUCUAGCAAAGGAGCAGAAAAGGGGCAGACUAUCAAGGCAGAAAACUUUCAGGCUGUAACUGCUCUACUCCAACCACAUCCAGAAAACAAAACUAAACAAACAAACAAAAAAAACUUGUGGCCUCAUUUUCACUCAUGCUAACAAAGCCCAAGUGGGGAGUCUAAACUGCCACCCUCACAAAGCUGUAAAUAGGUGCCCGCAAUACCCCUACAGGAGUGGUGUCAGAGGACAUGGAAAAGGGAGCCAAAACUUUCAUUUCUGUUAGCCAGUAACAAGAGUCUACUGCAGUGUAAAUGGAGACCAUAUGGGGAACUUGGACUUUCAUGCUACCUGGCAGUGACGAGGCAGCCCUUCUUUCCCUGAUGGAAUGGCAUCAGAGGAUCCCAGUGGGAAGUGAGGACAUUCACUACCACUAAUUAGUAACAAGGCCACCACCACUAUGGUGUCAAUAGAGAUCACAUGGAGAGGCAGCACAAAUAUCUAUGCCCAGUAGUUAUUAAGACCUGCUUCUCUCAGCAGAGUCAGGUGUCAGUGGAGGAGAAGUGAAGGAUCUGGAAGUGAAUUCUACCUUCCAGUAGAAAGCUGUGUUGAGCCACUUUUCCCCCUUUCAAAGCAGUGCCUAAAAAAGCAGCUGGAGGAUAAAGUUUGAAUAAGAUCCAAAGACUCUUAACGUAAUAUGAAUGUGACCAGGUUUCAAUCAAAAAUUGCUUGUCAUACAAAUAACAAGGAAAAUUUCAAAAAGGAUAAAAAGUAAAUUCAUUAUAUGCCAAUAGUGAGAAGGCAGAGCUAUUAAAAUAAUCUGACAGAGAUUGUAGAGCAACUGUGGUAAAAAUACUUCAACAAUCAAAACAUGCUUGAAACAAAUUUAAAAAACAGAGUUUCAGCACAGAUAUAUAAGACACAAAGAAGAACCACUGGACAUUUUAGAACAGAAAAAUGUAAUAACUUAAGUGAAAGCUUAAUGGAUGAUAUCAACAGCAGAAUAGAAGAGACAGAAGAAGAAAACAGGUAGCUUUAAGAUAGAAGAAGAAAAAUCACAUAAUCUAAACAACAGAGAGGAUAAAGGAAAAGAAAAUGAACAGAGCCUCCAAGAUCUGUGGACUAUAACAAAAUAUCUAGCAAAGACCUGGAAGAAGAGAAAUAGAGUGGGUCUAAAAAUGUGCUCCAAGUACACAUGGUCACAAAGAUGAGAACAAUAGACACUGAGGACUACUUGGAGGGGGAGACUGGGAGGAGAGUGAGGGUCAUAAAACUACCGAUUGGGUAUCUUGCUCACUGCCUGGAUGAUGGAAUCAUUUGUACACCAAACCCCAGUACUACACUGCCCAUGUAACAAACCUGCACAUAUACACCCUGAAUCUAAAAUAAAAGUUGAAUAAAUACAUAAAUAUAUAAAAAAUAAAAAUGUACACCAAAAAAUAGCAUCUAAAAUCUACCAAUUUCAUUAGAGACAUAAACCUACAGAAUAUGAAUAAAUAUGAAUGAACCCUAAACAGGGUAAUCACAAAGAUAUUCACACCAAGUUCCCUUGUAAUUAAACAUCUGAGAACUAGAAACAAAGAAAAAAUUUUGAAAGCAAUCAGAGAAAAGACACUUGACCAAUACGAGAAAAGCAAUUAAAAUGACAGAUUUCUCAUCAGAAACCACAGAGGAGAGAUGGAAGUGGCACGAUAUUUUUCAGGUGUCAAAAGAAAAGAGCUCUCAACCUAGGCUGACAAUCCUCUACCCAGGAUGAAAUCCUAGUUUCACAAUUGCAUUAGUCCAUUCUCACAUUGCUAUAAAGAACUACCUGAGACUGGGUAAUUUAUGAAGAAAAGAGCUUUAAUUGGCUCAUAGUUCUGCAGGCUGUACAGGAGGUGUGACUCAGGAGGCCUCAGUAAACUUAGGAUCAAAGCAGAAGGCGAAGGGGAAGCAGACACAUCUUCAUAUGGCAGAACAGGAGAGAAAAAGAGUGAAGGGGAACGUGCCACACACUUUUAAACAACCAGAUCUUGUUAGAACUCUAUCACAAGACAGCACUGGGGGAUGGUGCGAAACCAUUGGAAACCACCCCCAUGAUUCAAUCACCUCCCACCAGGGCCCUCCUCCAACACUGCGGAUUACAAUUCAACAUGAGAUUUGGGUGGGAGACAGAAACAAACCAUAUCAACAAUCCUAUACCCUGAAUAUUCAAUCCUAUAACCAAAGUGAAAGGGAAAUCAUAAUAUUCUUAAGCUGAAGAAAAAGUAAGAUAAUUUACUAUCCUAUCCAAAAAGUAUACCUAAAGAAAGUUCUCUAAACAGAAGGAAAACAAAAGAAAGACACCAGGAAAGGAAGAAAACAGAAAAAAAUAAGGUAAAUAAAAUGGGAUUUCCUUCUCCUUUGGGGUUUUCUAAAUUAUGUUUGAUCGUUAAGUCAAAAUUAUAACACUGAUUUUAUUCUAAAUUUAUGUAGAGAUAAUAUUUAGAACUAUUAUUAUAUAAACAUGGGACAGUAAAGGGGCAUAGAAAAGAGGUAAGGAUUAUAUAUUUCACUUCAACUGAAAAAAAAUGACAUCAGCACCUUGUAAUAAGUUUAUGUAUAGAAAAUUGUAUAUUCAGGCGUACCCAUUUUACCGCACUUCGCUUUAUGGUGCUUUGCAGAUAUGAUGUUUUUUACAAAUUGGAGGUUUGUGGCAACUCUGCAUUACGCACAUCUAUGGGUGCUGUUUUCUUAACAGCAUGUGCUCACUUAGUGUCUUUGUAUCAGCACUUUUUAGCAAUAAAGUGUUUUGUAACUGAGGUAUGUACAUGUUUUUAGAAAUAUGCUAUUGCACACUUCAUAGUAUGGUAUAAAUAUAACUUUUACAUGUGCUGGGAAAUCAGAAAUUUGUGUAACUCACUUUAUUGCCAUAUUUGCUUUAUUGUGGUGGUCUGGAACUCAACCUGCAAUAUCUCUGAGAUAUGUUUGUAUAAUGUAAUACCUAUAGUGAAACAAGUUAUAUGAAAGAUACAUUCAAAACACUAUAGGUAAAUCCAAAUGAAAUUAUAGUGACCAGCCUGGGCAGCAUGGUGAAACUCUGUCUCUACUAAAAAUAGAAAAAUUAGCUGAGCAUGGUGGCACAUGCCUGUAAUCCCAGCUACUCGGGAGACUGAGGCAUUAUUGCUUGAAUCCCUGAGGCAGAGGUUGCAAUGAGCCGAGAUCGCACCACUGCACUCUAACCUGGGUGACAGAGCAAGAUUGUAUCUCCAAAAAAAAAAAAAAAAAAAUUAUAAAAAAUGUUCAAUUAACCCACAGCAGGAUAGGAAAAAAGAAGAUAUUGAAAGGAAAAGUAGGGAGCAGAAAUAAAGCCUAAAAUAAAAUGCAGAUCUAAAUACUAGCACAUCGAUAACUAAUUAAAUGCAGAUGUUCUAAAAUCACUAAUUAAAAAAGAGUGGCAAAUGGAUUUUAAAAUCAUGACAAUUACAGAAUAUUAAAAACUCUUCAAAUAUAAUGAUACAGGCAGGCUGAAAUUAAAAGAGUAGUAGAAAAAUAUAAAAUUCAGUCAUGAAUCAGACAAAAAUAGAAAUGACUAAAUUAAUUCCAGUAAAGUAGAUUUUGUAGCAAAGAAAUUACCAGAGAGAGAGAGGAAUAGUGUAUAAUGACAAAAGUGUCAGUCCACCACAAAGACAUUGCAAUGGUAGAUGGAGCAUGCACCAAGUAAUGUAAUUGAAAACAUGUGAAGCAAAAACUGAAAUAAAGAAAAAGAGACACAGACAUAUCCACAAUGAUGGAUAAAGACUUCAUACUUCUCUCAACAAUCGAUAGAAAAACUAGACAUAAAAUCAACAUGGAGAUAAGAACCCAACAAUACCAUCAACCAACAGAAUCUAAAUAACAUUUAUAAAAAUUCCACUCAACAUCAGCAGAAUACACAUUAUUUUCAAAUGUCCAUGGAACAAGUACCAAAAUCAGCCAUAUUCUGGGCCAUAAGACAGACCUCAACAAAUAGAAAAGAUUUGAGAUCAUGCAGAGAAUGUCUUCCAAACAUAAUGGUAUCAAAUUAGAAAUCACUAAUAGAAAUAAAACCAAAAAUAUCUCUUCACACUUGGCAACAAGACAACCUAUUACUAAAUAAUCCAUGAGUCAAAAAGGAAUUAUCAAGAGAAAGAAAAAAAUACAUCAAAUUGAAUGAAAGUUAAAACAUGUCAAAAUGUGUAGAACACAGUGAAAGCCAUGCUGAGAGGAAAAAUUAUAGCACUAAGUGCAUACAUUAGAAAAGAGUUUGAAAAGGCUCAAAACAAUAAUGUGAGCUUUCACCUCAAAAACCUAGUAAGUGACUAAAAAAUAAACCCAAAACAUUAUAAGUCAUUAGAGAAUUGCAAAUUAAAACAACAAUGAAAUACCAUUAUGCAAGCAUUAGAAUGAAUAAAAAUCCAAAAACUGACAAUACUAAAUGCUGUUAAGGAUGUGGAACAAUAGGAACUCUCCUUCAUUGCUAGCAGUAAUGCAAAAUUGUACAGCUAAUUUAGGAGAUCAUUUGGUGGUUUCAUAUGAAACUAAACAUAGUCUUACCACACAACCCAGCAAUUGCCUACUUAGAUAAUUAUCCUGAUGAGUUGAAAACUUAUGUCCACAUAAAAACUUGCGUAUGAAUGUUUACAUCAGUUUUAUUCUUAAUCACCAGAAUCUGAAAGCUAACCAAAAUAUUUUUUAGUAGAUGAAUAAACUCUAGUACAUCCAUAAAAUUGAAUAUAAUUGUAGAUAAUAUUAAUGAACUAUAUAAUAAAAAUUAUAUAAUAAGUAAUGAAUUACAAAGCCAUGAAAAGACAUGAAGGAAUAUUAUGUACAUAUUGCCAAGUUUAAAAAGCCAAUGUGAAAUGAAAAGGCUACAUAUUAUAUAAUUCCAACUGCAUGACAAUCUUGAAAAAAGCAAAACUAUGGAGACCUUAAAAAGAUCUGUGGUUUCCAGAAGUUGAGGUGGGGUAUCAGGGAGGACAGGAGGGAUAAAUAGAUGGAACAUAUGAGAUUUUUAGGAUGAUGAAACUGUGCUGUGUGGUGGAUAUAAGGCAUGCAUUAGUCAAAACCUAUAGAAGAGUACCACACAAAAAAAGUAAACCUUAAUAUAAACUACCAACUUCACUUAAUAAUAAUGUAAUAGUAUUGGCUCAUUAAUUGUAACAAAUGCAUCAUUCUAUACUAUGCAAAAUGUUAAUAGAGGAAAUUAUAUGGGAGUGGGGGAGUAUUAUCUGCACAAUAUUUUUGCUCUAAAAUGUUGAGGUAGAUUUGUACCUGAUUUGUUGAGAGGUUUUAUCAUGAAGGGAUGUCAAAUUUUGUCAAAUCCUUCUUCUGGCUUAUUGAGAUGGUCAUAUGAUUUUUACUCUUUAUUCUAUUAAUACGUUACAUUUAUGAUUUGCAUACAUUAAACCAUUCUUGCAUCCUUGGGAUCGAUCUUACUUGUUCAUGGUGAAUAAUCUUUUUAAUGUGCUAUUGACUUUUGUUUGCUAGUGUUUUGUUGAGUAUUUUUGCAUCUAUGUUCAUUAGCAAUAUUAGCCUGUUUUUUUCUUUUUUAUUGAAAGCUUUCCCUCUAAGAUUUGGAAGAAGACAAGGAUGCCCAUUUUCACAACUCCUUGACAUAGUAGUGAAAGUCCUUUCUACAGCAAUUAGGCAAAAGAAAGAAAUAAAAUACAUCCAAAUAGGAAAGGAGGAGGAAGUCAAAUUGUCCCUAUUUGCAGAUGACAUAAUCUUACACAUAGAAUACUCUAAAGACUCCACCAAAAACCUGUUAGAACUAAUAAACAAAUACAGUAAAAAUGCAGGAUAUAAGAUUGAUAUAAAAAAUCAGUGGUGUUUUUAUACACCAAUGGUGAACUAUCUGAGAAAGAAAAGAAGAAAGUAAUUCCAUUUACAGUUGCUACAAAUAAAUAAAUACCUAUGAAUAAAUCUAACCAGGGAGGUAAAAUACCUCUACAAUGAAAACUGUAAAACUGAUUAAAUGAGUUAAAGGGGAUAAAAAUUAAUGGAAAGAUAUUUGAUGCUCAUGAAUUGGAAGGAUUAAUAUUAUUAAAUGUUCAUACUGCUUAAGACAAUCUACAGAUUCAAUACAGUCCUUAUCAAAAAUUCCAGUGUCAUUCUUCACAGAAAUAAAAAAGAACAAUCCUAAAAUUUGUAUGAAAUAAAAAAAGACCCCAAAUAGCCAAAACAAUCUUGAGCAAAAAGAACAAAGCUGUAGGCAUUACACUACCCAAUUUUAAAAUCAAAUCUAUAGUAACCAAAACAGCAUGAUAUUGGCAUAAAAAUACAUACACAGAUCAAUGGUACAAAAUAGAAAGCUCAGAAACAAAUCCAUGCAUUUACAACCAAUUGAUUUUCAAUAAAGUUGCCAAGAACACACAAUGGGAAAAUAAAUGGUGCUGGGAAAACUGGAUAUCCACAUGCAAAAGAAUGAAACUUGACCCUAUCUCUCAUGAUAUACAAAAAUCUACUCGAAAUAAUCUACUCUUAAAUAUAAGACUCAAACUAUAAAAUUAAUACAAAAAAGGGGGUGAACACUACAUGAUAUCAGUCUGGACAUGGAUUUUUUAGACAAGACCUCAAAAGAAAGAACAACAAAAACAAAAAUCAACAAAAACAAAAAUAAACAAAUAGGACAACAUCAAACUAAAAAAGUUCUGCACAGCAAAGGAAAAAAUCAACAGCAUGAAGAAGCAACCAUAGAAUGAGAGAAAACAUUUCCAUGUUAUAUACCUUACAAAGAGUUAAUACCCAGAAUUUAUAAGAACUCAACUCAAUGGCAAAAACAACUAAUUCAAUUUAAAAGUAGACAGAGCAAGACUCUGUCUCAAAAUAAAUAAAUAAAUAAAUAAAUAAAUAAAAGUAGACAAAAGACCUGUUUAGACAUAUCUUCAAAGAAGACAUACAAAUGGCCAACAAGUUUAUGAAAAAAUGCUCAACAUCAGCAACCAUCAGGAAAAUGCAAAUCAAAACCACAAUGUGAUAUCACCUCACCCCAGUUAAAAUAACUAUUACGAAAAAAAACAAAAAAUAACAAUGCUGUUGAGGAUAUGGAAAAAUGGGAACCCUUAUAGAUUGUUAGUGGGAAUGUAAAUUAAUACAGCCUUUAUGGAAAACAGUAGGACAUUCCUCAAAAAAUUAAAAUCAGAUCUACCGUAUCACCCAGCAGUCCCAUUACUGGGUAUAUAUCCAAAAGAAAUACAAUCAGUAUGUCAAAAAGAGAUCUCAUGUUUAUUGCAGGACUAUUCACAAUAUCCAAGAUGUGGAAUCAAAUUAAAGACCCACCAAUUAAUAAAUGGAUAAGGAAAAUGUGGUAUGUGUAUAUAUAUAUAUAUAUAUAUAUAUAUACACACACAAUGGAAUAUUAUUCAGCCACACAAAAUAAUAAAAUUGUGUCAUUGUGCAACAUGGAUAAGCCUGAAGGACAUUAUGUUAAGUAAAUUAAGCCAGGCACAGAAAGACAAAUGCCACAUGAUCCCAUUCAUAUGUAAUACCUAAAAAAAUUGAUCACAAAAAAGUUCAGAGUAGAAUAGUUGUUACCAGAGAGUUAGGAGAAUACAAGAAAAAGGGAGAUGGGGAGGGGCUGGUCAUUGGGUACAAUGUUACAGCUGGAUAAGAAUAAGAAGUUCCAUUACUUUAUAGCACAACAGGGUGACUGUAGCUAACAAUAAUGCAUUGUAUAUUUCAAAUAGCGAGGAAAGAGGUUUUUGAAUGUUCUUAUAACAAUGAAAUGGGCCAGGUGCAAUAUGAGAGGCUUGAGCGUUGCUUAAGGCAGAGUUCAAGAUCAGUCUGGGCAACAUAGCAAGCCCCCAUCUUAGGUUUGUUUGUAUGCACCUGUAGUCCCAGCCAUUCAGGAGGCUGAGGUGGGAGGAUCACUUGAGCCAGGAAGGUUGAGGCUACAAUGAGCUAUGAUCAUGCUGCCGCACCCCAGUCUGGGCAACAGAACUAGAUCCUAUCUCACAAACAAACAAACAAAGAUACAAUACAUGUUUAAAGUGAUGGAUAUGCUAAUUAUCACGAUUUUAUCAUUACACAACAUAUAUAUAUGGCAACAUUACGUUGUAAUACAUGUAAACAUGUGCAAUUAUUUUUUGUCAAAAAAGAAUAAAGAUGUGUUGUCAAAAACAUGUAAAAAUAAAUAAAAAUAUAAUCUACUAAGUAAAAAGACUUAAUUAAAAUUCAACAUACAUUCAUAAUUAAAAGCUCAAAUAAUGAAAUAGAGGAUAAUUUUCUCACCUUGAUACAAAGCAUCAGCUGAAAAGCUGCAACUAACAUUAUACUGACUGGGGAGAAUUGAUACUUUCUCCUCAAGAUCAGGUACAGAAACAGGAUGUUAAUUCUCACCACUUUUAGUCAACUUAGUGCUGGAAGUUCUGGUAAGUACAAUAGGGCAAGAUAAAGAAAGCUGAAAGACUACAGAUCAGGAUGUAAUAUAUAAAAUCAUCCCAUUUGCGGAAGGCACAAUUGUCUUCUACAUAGAAAAUUCCAAUGAAUCUACAAAAAUCUUGUACAAACUAACAACUAAUAACUAAUCAGCAAGGUCAUAGGACAAAAAAUAUGCAAAAAUUAAUUUUAAUUCUACAUAUUUGCAAUAAACACAUGAACCCCAACACUUAAAAUACAAUUAUAAUCCCUCAAAAAUAAAAAUGUAGGUAUAAAUCUAACAAAACAUUUACAGAAAUUAUAUAUUAAAAUUAUACAACACUAAUGUAUUAAUUUCCUUUUGCUGCUGUAACAAAUGACCACAAACAUAGUGGCUUAAACCAAUACAAGUUUAUCAGAACUCUAGAGAUCAUAUGUCUUAAAUACGUUUCAUGAGACCAAAAUCAAUGCAUUGGCAGGCAUGGAUUCCUUCUGGAAGCUCUUUGGGAGACUGCAUUUCUUCACCUUUUCCAGCUUCUAGGGGCUGCUUCCAUUCCUUGGCACGUGGCUCCAGCUAGCAGUUUCAUCACUCUGAUCUCUGCUUCCAUAGUCACAUCUACUUCUCUGUAUCCUCUGCCUCCCUUUUUCACUUAAAGAAACAUUACAAGUACAUUGGACCUACAAGAAUAAUACACGAUAAUCUCACUAUUUCUUUAUUUCUCUUCCUUCCUUCUU